GUUUGACUAGUGAGCUAACAGCUACCUCUGUGGCCCAUCCUUUGCUGCGAGAGAGCAGAGAUACAGAACAGUACAUUAAGAUGAGUCCCACACAGCCCAUCUGCUCAGAAGCCCCACAAAGCAUAAGGGCACUUACUCGCAAGUCAGACCAAAUAGGGGGACAACCUUAGGGUGGAAUUAUACCCAUAAAUUACACUACAUCCCAAGGCUGCUCAGCUGGUGUUAAGAUGGAGCUGUGCCAGUAGGACUGAACACACCAGGAGAACUCCACUAGCGUAGACACCCUGCUGACAAAGUUAUGUUUCCCCAUCAAGGAAUGACUUUACCAAAGCUCUCCUUUGAAGCUCUUUCAGUGUUUUCACACAUAUAUUGCUGCAAUACUCUUAAAUAAGUAAAUCAAACCCUGAUGCCCACAACUGAAAAUCCAAGUAAGAACAUGGAAAUUAUUGCUGCUGAAAGAGCUGAUGUGCAGAUUAGGUAAGUCAGGAGCACUAUCUUACCUUACCUUUCCCACCCCGACCUGGCCACAGUGAUCCAUGCGACGGUCAUCUCCAGGCUUGACUACUGUAAUUCGCUCUACGUGGGGCUGCCCUUGAAGCUGUCCCAGAAACUCCAGCGGGUGCAGAAUGCUGCAGUGAGGCUCCUCACGGGGUCUCUGCCAUGGGAGCAUAUUCACCCAGUGCUUUUCAAGCUGCACUGGCUCCCGGUGGAGUACAGGGUCAGAUUUAAGGUGCUGCUUUUGACCUUUAAAGCCCUUCACGGCCUAGGACCAUCGUACCUACGGGACCGCCUCACCCAGUAUGCCCCACGGAGAGCUUCAAGGUUCAUAAAUAGCAACACCCUAGUGGUCCCGGGCCCUAAGGAAGUUAGAUUGGCUUCAACCAGAGCCAGGGCCUUUUCAACUCUGGCUCCAGUCUGGUGGAACACUCUGCCUCAUGAGACCAGGGCCCUGCAGGAUCUGAUUUCUUUCCGCAGGGCCUGUAAGACAGAGUUGUUCUGCCUGGCCUUUGGCUUGGAGCCAAUUUGAUUCCCUCCCUCUCUUUCUUUUUUCUUUUCCUUUCUCCUCCUGCAAUGAGGCUACAUUUUAAUGUUUUAAUGUUUCAAUAUUUUAAUGUCGUAUUUUAAUUUUGUUUUUAAGUUGUAAUGAUUCAACUUGUUUUUAUUAUUGCUUGUUAGCCGCCCUGAGCCCGGCCUUGGCUGGGGAGGGCAGGGUAUAAAUAAUAAUAAUAAUAAUAAUAAUAACUGAUGUGCACCCAUUGGAUAAUCAGGAGCACUGCAGCUACUACUGCAGAGGACAAUAAUUUUCAGCUGUAGUACCAACUUUUCCCUGCUCCAAGUCCUUGUAGUAGUGGGAGCCAACUAGGAACGGCCACUCCCAGUAACCAAUAUGUGAAGAGGAGACAGACAAUGCAGGCACCCAUAGAAGUCAUCUCCUUUUGGUAUGGGUAUCUGCCCUGCUUUGAUUGAUAUCAUUGAUUGAUUGUUGAAAUGUGGCAGGACAUAGUGGGGAUCAGUGAUUGGCAUGCCAAUUUCCAGGUCUAGAGCAUACACACACCUGGUCUUCCCAUUCAACACUGCCUCUGCCUGUCUCUCAUGUUGCAAUAUCUCAGCUAUGAAGUUGGAACAAGCACUCUGCCUAGUAAUAUGCCAUACAGAGAACUCGGGGGGAGGAGACCAAAAAAAAAUUAAGUGUACACUCCCUCAGGAGACCAUGCUUUCUCAGUAAAAUGUUAACCAUAUACUGUACUUGAAGAACUGAAAUAAUGGGAUCUGAUGCUCAGCUGGAAAGAGCAUGGUUUCACCUGCCAAAAUGCAUCACAAUAUAUUACCAUCCUCCUUUCAUUUUCUCCUUGCGUGGUAUACAAAAAUAUUUUUUAAGACCUACUAGUAGUCAGAAAAUAGAAUGCUUUCGAAAUAUCUACAGAUAUAACACAGUCUUCUGGUGCCACUCAGAGCUGCACUUAACAACGUUUAUUGUUUUGGAUACAGCUUCUUAACAAAGCAGUAUCUGGUAGCAACAGUAAGUUGAGAGAGCUCCCUACUUCCAAGAAAGUAAUUAUGUGCUACAGUCCUUCUUGAGCUCCGCAUGCACCUGGUACGGAGAGCAAAAGGGAUCCAAGAAACAAAGACAAAGGAACCAAGACAAAGGCAUAAAAAUCCCUUCUAAGGUGGCUUCCCCACCUUUUCCUAUUGCCAUGCCUAGAACAGGCAACAAACCUCCUUCCAGUGGCAAAGGCAGAAAAUGGAAAUGGAGCCAGGGGGGCUUGUCUCCCCAUUAAAGUACCCCUCAAAAGGUUUUUAACUUCCUGCCAGUGGUGGAGAAAACCCACAUCAUGCAACCCAAUUCUCCCCUACAGAAACCUUCAUGGAAAUCAAUGUUUCCACACCUUUCUAAUGUACAACUUACCCAGAAUCCUCCUGGAAACCUUCCAAUUCAUCCUUUUGUUCUGCUAAGGUAGACUCUAAAUCCAAGUAGGUACCAUUGUGAGACAGCUGCAAUGUGCAGUCAUCAAGCUGAAAAAGAAAAGAAAACACUGUAGUUCACUUUAUCAGUUUCAAGGCCUCCAGCCUCCAGACCAGCUUACAUACAAUCUAGCACAAACCAUCAGAUUGUUGCUGCCCCGGUCAAAGCACACAUUCACUUAAUACCAGUACCUCAAAUUCCCCCAGAGAUGUUGGGCUAACUGCCACCUACUCCUCUAAGAAAACUUUAAACAGUAGGAACAGACGUUAUUGUUCCAAGUAUAUGGAUGCUAGGUGUAAUUCAGAGGUUAUCACAGGGUGGUUUCCUGAGACAACCAAUCCUUUUCACAAGAGCAAAAAAUCUCAGUGUGUUUCUGUCACCCACACCGUCUCGCUCACUUUUGAUCACUUGCAUAUUUCUUUGUGGAACUUGACAUUUUAUUCAACGGAGAGAACCACUUCUGCUCUUGUUUACCAGAUCACUUUAUUGUUGGAUGAAAGAUAUGAGGGUCAAUAUUCUCCUCAUAGGAUGAUGCUGCUUGUUUCUUUGCAGACACGACACUUAAUCACAAUUUGUUUUCCUCACCAACAGUUAAUUAUUAAGUCAUGGUUAAUUAUUCAGCGGGACGUGGGUGGCGCUGUGGUCUAAACCACUGAGCCUCUUGGGCUUGCUGAUCAGAAGGUCGGCGGUUUGAAUCCCAGCAACGGGGUGAGCCCCCGUUGCUCUGCCCCAGCUCUUGCCAACCUAGCAUUUCAAAAGCACGUCAAAAUGCAAGUAGAUAAAUAGGUACCACUCUGGCGGGAAGGUAAACAGCGUUUCCAUGCGCUCUGGCUUCCGUCAUGGUGUUCCGUUGCACCAGAAGCGGUUUAGUCAUGCUGGCCACGUGACCUGAAAAGCUGUCUGUGGACAAACGCUGGCUCCCUCAGCCCGUAAAGUGAGAUGAGCGCCGAAACCCCAGAGUCGUCCACAACUGGACUUAACUGUCAGGGGUCCUUUACCUUUACCUUUAAGUAUUCAGACGUAAGGAUUAGGCUCCAAACCUGGAUGGGAAAUCACGUGGGAUCACAAACCAUGGUACAUGAUAACUAUGAUUAAGUGUUACGUCUGGACCAUGCAAAACCUGAUCAAAGCAACCUCUCUGCUUACAGGAUGAGAAGCAAGAUUCUUUGGCAUCUCCCUGUACAUGCUUUCCUGAGACAGGGCUUAGUUCAGCAAAUUAAACCAACACUUUCAAAGUAAAUUUAAGAUCUUAAUUGGGAUUAUGUGUGCGCCAGAUUUCUAUCUCAAUUGUUUGUUAAAAAAACAAACAAAAAAUAAAGAUACUGUUCUUUAUACACAGUAGUAUAAUAUUUGGCUCAUCUGACAUGUGCAAUUAAGUAGUCGAGACAGGUCUUCCUCUACAAAAAGGAAACUUGAAUGUAUGAAUGCCUAGGCAAAUCAGAGUUCAGAGGUUUAUAGCCUGCUAUAGAUGAUUUUGCAAACAAACUGAGCUCCGAAGAGGCCUGGGCACACAUGAGUUUAACCAUACCCUAUUAGAGAUUAAACUCCUAUUCCCAUGUUCGCAGCAAAAGAAUGCCAACAUAGCAUGUAAAAGGAACAAGGGACUCCUGAAUGUUAGGUCCAGUCGCAAACGACUCUGGGGUUGCAGCGCUCAUCUCGCUUUACUGACUGAAGGAACCGGCGUACAGCUUCCAGGUCAUGUGGCCAGCAUGACUAAGCUGCUUCUGGUGAACCAGAGCAGCACAAGGAAACGCUGUUUACCUUCCCACCGGAGCGGUACCUAUUUAUCUACUUGCAUUUUGACGUGCUUUCGAACUGCUAGGUUGGCAGGAGCAGGGACCAAGAAACAGGCGCUCGACCCGUCGCGGGGCUUUGAACUGCCGACCUUCUGAUCAGCAAGCCCUAGGCUCUGUGGUUUAGACCACAGCGCCACCCACAUCCCUAACAUAGCCUGUACGACAGCUGAUAUAUUGUGCACACACAAUUACAAUUUUUCAGAUAAGUUAGUCAUUGAUCCUGAUCACACUUUUGGACAUUGUAAAUCUUCAUAUAGAAAACUCCAGAGAAGUUAUAUAUGGAAUCAGAAAAUAUAAACCCGUCUCCCCAUGGUGUUAGGAAUUAAAAUCUAGAAGGAAUAUAAAUAUUGGAUUAUGCACAUUUUUCUUUAGCAUUCACCAUAGCUUCUGACCAAACCAGUUUUGUGGCUCUAGCAAGUGUAAAAAUUGAUCGCCUUCCUAAUGAGGCAAUCGCCUGGGUGAAGGGCCAUUAAGGGGAACAAAGUAAAGGGGCUCUGUGGGAGAUGGCUGGUGGGUGGGGGCCCUCCCUCAACUCUUAGAUAGUUAGAAAGGCAUAGCCAGAGUUUAGAGCAGAGAGUAAAAUGUGACCUAGAAGGCAAAAGCAUCAAUCUGGGAACUGAGAGAGACGCAGCAAUGUUUGAUUUCUCUUUUAAUCCAAGGUUGCAGCAAUGAGGGAAGCAAGGUCCUCCUGGGGUGUUAAUGUUGUUGGGAAUUCCACUCCACCCUUGCUGCAGAUAUGUGGGAUUGUUACAUGUCACAUGUCUGUUCACAUUCCAGCACAGAUUGCUGGAGUCCCGUGAGCGGAACAUCUGCUCUGCAUUGCUUUUGUGUUCUCUCUCUCUGAGAAGAACAACAAGAAGAGAGGCCAUGUUUUUCUUUGUCCUGAUUUAUGUAUAAUAAAUGCGUAGUUUAGUAUAGUAUCCAUGCCUUGAGCCUGAUCUGUUGUGUGUUUACUCUGCUGAGUAAUGUGUGCUCUUGCAUGGACAGUAGCAUGAGUCGCAGACGCAUGUCAGAGGAGGAUGACUGAUGGAUCUCUGCAGUGGCAAGGCUGAGAAGGGAGACGCUCUGGCUGGGGCCAAGCCAGAUGGCUUUCCAUCCCAUGGUUCCGACCCCUCCAUCGUAGGCUCAAGUUGUAUAUAUGUG